AGGUGCGCUCAUACCAAAUCUAAUGCACCGGAUCCCAUCAGAACUCCGCUGUUAAGCGUGCUUGGGCGAGAGUAGUACAAGGAUGGGUGACCUCUUAGGAAGUCCUCAUGUUGCACCCC
rfam:Beta vulgaris subsp. vulgaris contig127758.1, whole genome shotgun sequence.